rnacentral:rRNA from 1 species
UAAGGAUCGGCUAACUCCGUGCCAGCAGCCGCGGUAAUACGGAGGAUCCGAGCGUUAUCCGGAUUUAUUGGGUUUAAAGGGAGCGUAGAUGGAUGUUUAAGUCAGUUGUGAAAGUUUGCGGCUCAACCGUAAAAUUGCAGUUGAUACUGGAUAUCUUGAGUGCAGUUGAGGCAGGCGGAAUUCGUGGUGUAGCGGUGAAAUGCUUAGAUAUCACGAAGAACUCCGAUUGCGAAGGCAGCCUGCUAAGCUGCAACUGACAUUGAGGCUCGAAAGUGUGGGUAUCAAACAGGAUUAGAUACCC